CAGCAGUUGAAGCUGCCAGCAUGAUCUGAGUUUACCUUCUAUUGGUAAGAACAGAUCAUGUGGCUGCUUCACCUGUUG
rnacentral:pre_miRNA from 1 species